GAAUUUUAUAUAAAAUUAUUUAAAUUAAGUGAAAUUUUAAUUGAUUAUAUAAUAGAUUUUAUAUUUAGUUGGGAGGACUAUUAAAUUAAAAAAACUUUAAUAUUAAUAAAAAUAUAAAUAAGUAGAUAAAUUAAGGAAUAAUUAUUAAAUUUAAAAGAAAUAAUUACCUUAGGGAUAACAGCGUAAUAUUUUUAGAUAGAUCAUAUAGAUAAAAAUGAUUGC
rnacentral:rRNA from 1 species